GAAACAGCCAGAGCGAGAAGAUGAUGCAUGUGAGCCCUGCCCUUGGGAAGCUUCCAGGUUGGGAAAUGAGGAAUGAGCCUGACACCCAGGGCCCAGAGAGACCCAGGACAGAGGCAGGUCAGGAGGCAGACACGCGCUGCUGGGUAAUGACGACAGCACCAGUAAUCACGGCUACUCCUUGUUAAGUACUUACUAAGUGCAAGACUCCAAGCUAAGCAAUUAAUAGACCUUUUCUUGUUUAAUCCUUACCACAAUUCCAUAGGGUUGAGUAGGAAGUCCUUCUUGAAGUCUAAUCUCAAGAAUUCAUGCCAUGGAUUGGGCCAAUGUUCCACCUUUAUUGGAGUCUGGGGACUUAGGUGGAAAAGGCAGAACUGGCUGGUUGGAGGAGCCACCUCCCUGCAAGGGGCCAGGAGGGAGAUUACGGAGGCGCCAAGCCCAGAGCUCCAACAUGCACCUGCCACAGCUCCAGGGGAGAUCGGGGGCCUGCCAAUUUACCCCGCCCCAUGAUCUCAUGGCUGUGUGCGCCAGGCACUGGCUCAGGGAGCAGCAUCUCACAGAGAAGAUACUUGGAUGGGCCACAGGCCAAAACUGGGCCAAAACCCUGGAGAGGGGGACCUGGCUCAAGGCCACACCACAUUUCCAUGUCAUUUUCCAGUGGCACCAACUGAGCUGGACAGAUGUUCUCACAGAGCUACACAUGCCACAGUCAUCACUAGUUGCGAGAGUCUCCAGUGUUCAUUAAGCCUAUUUUGCUGGAAGUUUAGUCCCUGGAGGAUUAGUCCCUGCCCUUAAGGAGUGCCAAAGAAGACUUUGGAAUCUAAGUCACAUCUCCCCUGCUGCAAUUUUUUCCUCUUGAUAAUCAAGGAAUCUCACUGAUAAAACUCUCAAUGAGGAGCAGCUCUCCCCAUGAGCAAGUUCUUGCCUUCAUUGCCAGGGAGGCCCCAGCUAAGGUUAUACUGGGAAAGGAAUCUCUGGGGAGUACCUGGAAGAGGUCAGCUUCUCCUCAAAGGAAGCCUCUCCAGCUGGUGUACUGCAAAGCCUUCCAAGACCAAGUUCCCUCUUCCUGGCCUCUGGAACCAGCCUGUGUGCCAGCGCUGUGUCCCCAGUAACACACAUGAGUCUCUCCCUCAGAAGCCACAGAAGGAUGCAGAGAGAGACCAACCCAGGAUUGAUUCUCAGCACUUACUAAUUGUGUGGACAUAACUGCUCUGGACCUCAGCUUUGCUAUCUAUAAAAUGAGCACCCUUUUUAUAGAUAUGAACACUUUAAGAGAGUCAUAAAGAUUGAAGUUGAUUUGUGCUGCGCCUGGCACAGAGGUCUCCCUCAGUAAAUGGCAGCCACUGCUAUUGGGGUGCCCCAACACCCCUUGCCCCUGCCCACCAUUAGCUUUCACUUAGGCCCACACUGAGGGUGUGGCUGUUGUGUUGGGGGAAGGAAAAAAACCAUGCCUGGGUUGCAGGGCCCC
rnacentral:lncRNA from 1 species